rnacentral:lncRNA from 1 species
GCAACGGUUUGUUUCGGAAAUGGCUUUAUUACAUUCCCCGCCAUUCCUUGAAUACACAUACCAUUUGCCAGGUGCUUUAAACUAAACUCCUGACACUCUCUUAUAAUAGAGAUCUACUUACACACACGCACUCGCGUCUCAGAUUAUUCAUAAUCCACUUAUCAUUCCCCUGAUACCCCCGCUACAAUUGUACAAUUGUACAGCCACGCGUCGUCCGCCGUACACCGCCAAGCCGACACGGCAGCCCCCAAAACCCUAAACCCUAGCUUCUGUCCUCCACUAGUGCUAGUAUUCAGUUGUUCAUCCAACCAUUCAUUUUUGUUAUAACUGUCCAGUCCAUGGCCCCCCGGCUUUUACGGACAUCCCCCCCCACAUACACACACAUCCCAUGCACACAUGGCUGGUUAUAAUUUCUUUACCUAGCCAGGAUCCAAAACACGCGCCGCAGCACCGGCUGCUAGCUUUUGACCGUGUACGGUUUCCAACACAUAAUCCUCUUUUAUAACACCGCCAUCGCAACUACUAACAUCAUCCAUCACUCCACACCACACACCACACCGCAUGUGGUGUAUUGUUCGUACGCUGCCGUACACCUGUCGUCAGUUAGGAAACAGCCUCUCAUACCGUUCGUUGCUGCAAUCAUCACAACUUCCGCGAACUAACGCCUGCAUAACGCCUG